GGUGAUGUAGCUCAGGCAGGUUAGAGCACUGUGUGUGGUGGAUGGUUGAGAGUUCGAGUCUCUCAAGAAAUACUCUUAGCUUAACGGAAGAGCACCACAAGCAGAGGUCAGCGGUUCGAAUCCGCUCAUCACUUCA
rnacentral:tRNA from 1 species